ACAGAAAGCAAUAUUUAUUCAGACAUGCUUUACAAAACCUUGUUAAACCGUAUCAAAAAUGUCUACGGGUGUAUAAACCUUAUCAGUCCAAUUCUUAGUAAGUGCAUUUGUACAAUAAAAUAUAUUACAUAACAAUAUUACAAACUUCAACAUACAUUUACUACUCAGCUACAAUUAUAAGCCAGUUUGAGGGGAUAAAUCUAUUGUUUUUCUACAAUGACGGACCAACCAACGACAAGGAGUGUGUGAGAAGAUUAAUAACUUAAAUGUUAAGUAGUUCAUAAGAAAAUGUGUUAUGUACAAUUUGAUAUUCAAAUUAUUAGACCUAAUAGUACAACUUUAAACUGUAGAAAUUCAAAACAAAUCAUGUUUACAUAUUUUACUUCCUAAAGUCUUGGACAAGGCAUUAUCGUCCUUGUUGUGCAUGUGUAAAGGACAAAUGUUAGGUAGGUACCACAUUUGAGUUCACAUCAAAAUGGAUCAGAUCCUUUUGUUUCAAUUGGUCAAUACUCAAUACCCUCAAACCUAUGAAGCAGACCAAGGUUAAACCUAAUGAUAAGAUAAAAGAAGAAAAUACUUGACAAAACAUUAAGAUUUCUUAGCCUUAAAAGCACCUUUAAAACAAAAUGGAUGCCACUAACUGUCUAAUACCACAGUCCUUCAAUACCACUCAGCUUAUAAGUGUUAGUCUGAUUUAGCACAUAGGAACACCUACGAGUGCAUUUCAGUGUGAUAUAAAUGAUCUGGUCUCUGACUAAAGAGAGAUCUUAAGAAGCGGGUAGAUCAGUCAGGAAGUGGCUAGUUCCUGUGUGCCCUAUUUAUAAGCCAAGUGAACAGGGCUGCUUUGAAGAGCACAGGGCAGAUACAACAUAACAUUACGGUGGCUAGGGGCUAGGUGAGGGCAGAUACAACACAACAUUACUGGGGCUAGGGACUAGAUGAGAGUAGAUACAACACAACAUUACUGGGGCUAGGGGCUAGGUGAGAGUAGAUACAACACAACAUUACUGGGGCUAGGGGCUAGGUGAGAGUAGAUACAACACAACAUUACUGGGGCUAGGGGCUAGGUGAGAGUAGAUACAACACAACAUUACUGGGGCGAGGGGCUAGGUGAGAGUAGAUACAACACAACAUUACUGGGGCUAGGUGAGAGUAGAUACAACACAACAUUACUGGGGCUAGGGGCUAGGUGAGAGUAGAUACAACACAACAUUACUGGGGCUAGGUGAGAGUAGAUACAA